GACGUAGGGUCCAAGCGUUGUCCGGAUUUACUGGGCGUAAAGAGCGCGUAGGCGGCUCGUUAAGUGUGAAGUGAAAUCUCCAGGGCUCAACCCGGAAACUGCUUUACAUACUGGCGAGCUGGAGUGAUGCAGAGGUUUGUGGAAUUCCUGGUGUAACGGUGAAAUGUGUUGAUAUCAGGAGGAACACCCAUGGCGAAGGCAGCAAACUGGGCAUCAACUGACGCUGAGGCGCGAAAGCUAGGGGAGCAAACGGG
rnacentral:rRNA from 1 species